UCCACACCAGCCUGGUGAAUUCAGAUUAUC
rnacentral:piRNA from 1 species